GACAAACGCUGGCGGGGUGCCUGAGACAUGCAAGUCGAACGGGGUUGAUCGGGCUUGCUCGAUCAACCUAGUGGCGGACGGCUGAGUAACGCGUAGGUGACCUACCCGGAAGUGGGGAAUAACUGCCCGAAAGGGUGGCUAAUACCGCAUGUGGUCGGCGAAUCGGAUCGCCGUCCAAAGCCGAAAGGCGCUUCCGGAGGGGCCUGCGUCCGAUUAGCUAGUUGGCGAGGUAACGGCUCACCAAGGCGACGAUCGGUAGCUGGUCGGAGAGGAUGAUCAGCCAGACUGGGACUGAGAACGGCCCAGACUCCUACGGGAGGCAGCAGUCGGGAAUUUUGCCCAAUGGACGAAAGUCUGAGGCAGCAACUCCGCGUGAGGGAUGAAGGCCUUCGGGUCGUAAACCUCUUUUCCCAGGGAAGAUCCAAGACGGUACCUGGGGAAUAAGCCACGGCUAACUACGUG
rnacentral:rRNA from 1 species